rnacentral:lncRNA from 1 species
GAUUGUUACUCCAUCGAUUUUAUUGUUGCUCCGUUCCACUCUGGCCACAUUUUGCAUCGUCAUAGCAAUCACAAGUGGCGUACGAAAGUCAGAUCCAAGAUGGUUCAUUUAUCUCACAAACUGGGGUUUCCUGUUACUCACUAUGGCUAUGAUAGGACUUGCGCUAAUUAGCAUAAUCCACGCGUUUUCGAAAACUGAUUUGAGAAAGACUUCGCUUGAGAUGCGCAGCCGUGGUGAAAUGAUUGAUGCUGAAAGUACCUCACAAACGCAAAGUAACGAAAAUCAAAUCGAGCCCAAGUCUUUAGCCUGGUACGAAAAAGGCAAGAAAGGACAAUUUGUUUAUAGUCUGACAUAAAUAUCUGUAGCAUAUAAACUGCUUUGGAAAUACUGAAAGGCAAAAGCCGAUAAUACUCCAG